rnacentral:rRNA from 1 species
GACGAACGCUGGCGGCGUGCUUAACACAUGCAAGUCGAACGGAAAGGCCCUGCUUUUGUGGGGUGCUCGAGUGGCGAACGGGUGGGUAACACGUGAGUAACCUGCCCUUGACUUUGGGAUAACUUCAGGAAACUGGGGCUAAUACCGGAUAGGAGCUCCUGCUGCAUGGUGGGGGUUGGAAAGUUUCGGCGGUUGGGGAUGGACUCGCGGCUUAUCAGCUUGUUGGUGGGGUAGUGGCUUACCAAGGCUUUGACGGGUAGCCGGCCUGAGAGGGUGACCGGCCACAUUGGGACUGAGAUACGGCCCAGACUCCUACGGGAGGCAGCAGUGGGGAAUAUUGCACAAUGGGCGGAAGCCUGAUGCAGCAACGCCGCGUGCGGGAUGACGGCCUUCGGGUUGUAAACCGCUUUCGCCUGUGACGAAGCGUGAGUGACGGUAAUGGGUAAAGAAGUACCGGCUAACUACGUG